GACGAACGCUGGCGGCGUGCUUAACACAUGCAAGUCGAACGGAAAGGCCCUGCUUUUUUGUGGUGCUCGAGUGGCGAAGGGGUGAGUAACACGUGAGUAACCUGCCCUUUACUUUGGGAUAACUUCAGGCAACUGGUGCUAAUACCGGCUAGCAGCUCCUGCUGCAUGGUGGUGUUUGGAAAGUUUGGGCGGUUGGGAAUGUACGGGGGGUUUAUCAGCUGGUUGGUGGGGUAGUGGCUUACCAAGGAUUGGACGGGUAGCCGGACUGAGAGGGUGACCGGCCACAGUGGGACUGGGGUGCGGCCAAGGCUGAUACGGGGGGCAGGGGUGGGGAAUAGUGCAAGAUGGGCGGAGGGUUGAUGGAGCAACGCCGGGUGGGGGAGGACGGCCUUCGGGUAGUAAGCGGAGUUCGCCUGUGACGAGGCGUGAGGAACGGUAAUGGGUAAAGAAGCACCGGCUAACUACGU
rnacentral:rRNA from 1 species